CGCACCGACAGCAAUGGUGUCUCUGUAAUACGGUGCGGAUCCACCACCGAGGGACAUAGAGAGGACAUCCACACCGUCCUGAAUGGCCCGAUCUAUGCCCGCAAGAAUGUCGGAUCCGAAACAUCCAGUUUUCCAGCAAACUUUGUAGGUGGCCACACGCGCGUGCGUGGCCAUUCCACGAGCGACGCCGCUGGCGUAACCGAGGAGACUGGCAUUGGCGACGGGUACGCCGGCCGCCGUACUGGCCGUGUGGGUACCGUGUCCGUCAUAAUCACGAGGCGACUCGGGUUCGUUUGGCUUCUUAGAGAAACUUCCACCAGCCAUGUGGUAGCCUUUGGAGAAAAAACGAGCGCCAAUGAGCUUUUUGUUACAAAGUUUGGGACUAAAAUCAGGACCGGACUCGCACUGGCCGCGCCACUUGGUUGGAACCUCAGGCAUGGCGGAGUCAUCGAAACUUUUAGACUCGGGCCAAACCCCAGUGUCGAGAACACCAAUGAUAACAUCAAGGGAGGCCUUGUCGAAGUCGAGCUUGCUGUAGCCUGCCAACAAGCCGAAGUCAGAGCUGAUGCCGAGGAACUGAGGGGACCGAGUAGUGUGGAGGGUGUAGAGAGUGUCCUCGUAGACUCCGAGAACGGCGUCGGAUUGGCGGAGAGCCUGGGCUUGAUCUGGGUCAAGUGAGGCAGCGAAGCCGUUGUAUGCGGUGUUGUAGGUGUACAGAAGAGAAUCUGUGGAAGAUGAGAGAGACUGAACGCUCGAUGCGUACCAAUCGUUGUGGGUGGAGAAAGUUGAUGGCUUUGCUUGGUGUUUCAUGUGAACUAUGUAGGUUUGCUUGGCCGCCGUCACUGAGAGUGACAAGCAUGGUAGGAGAAGAAGAAGUCCGGUGAAGAAGAAGAAAGACGCCAUGGCAAUGCUGAGAAGAUGAAGCUUUUUUUUAUUUCAAAGUUUGAAAGUACAAACUAUUACAGUCGCUAUAGGUCUGCGACUGUCAGAGAGGAUAAAAGAGACGCUGCACUUAUGUCGGGUUUUUAAACACAUACAGAAUCACACAAGCCUCCUUAUUGCCUUUAUUUACCAUUAUGCCAUCAUUGGUCUCCCCUGUCGAGUCAUGCAAUGCUUUUACAUUUUGUUAUAAUUAUUUACUUGUAUUAUAUAAGACAAAUUACGAUCGUGUGGAUAAGAGAAGAGAGACUCUGUUGCUUUAAGGCUGGCAAAAGAAAAAUUAAUGAUGAUAAUCAAUGAUGGCAGUGUGAAUCGUGAAUAUUCGUGAUGGUUGUUUGUCGUGUUCCGAGGAUGUAAUUUUGGGUGGAUUUUCGGGCGUUAAUACUAGAGAUUAACCCAUGCCGAGUCCGACCCGACCCACCAAAAUAAAACCAAAAGUUUAAAAUUUAAAUUUAUAUUAAAUAAUAAUAAACUAAUAAUAAUAACUUAAUAUAAUAUUAACUGCAGAUAACUACUUUCCCACGCACAAGUUCCGGUUGGAGUGAACCGGGCAAACACAGAUUGGAAGAAGAAGAACCGUUUGAACCUUUAUUGUAAACCAAACUGACCGGUUUAUUUCCCAUCCCAUUUCCGCUAUAGAGUGAGACACCAGUGGCUUUCUUUUUGUUUCCAAGAAACACGUAAGCCGGGAAGUCGCGAUCUAAAGUGCCGGCACCAACGGUCAGGAUCCACGGAGCCACGUUGGCAAGCGAGGCCUUAGUUGGCCCACUGUUUCCGGCAGAGCAAGAGACCACAAUGCCCUUCUCCAUUGCCGCAAACGCACCGACAGCAAUGGUGUCUCUGUAAUACGGUGCGGAUCCACCACCGAGGGACAUAGAGAGGACAUCCACACCGUCCUGAAUGGCCCGAUCUAUGCCCGCAAGAAUGUCGGAUCCGAAACAUCCAGUUUUCCAGCAAACUUUGUAGGUGGCCACACGCGCGUGCGUGGCCAUUCCACGAGCGACGCCGCUGGCGUAACCGAGGAGACUGGCAUUGGCGACGGGUACGCCGGCCGCCGUACUGGCCGUGUGGGUACCGUGUCCGUCAUAAUCACGAGGCGACUCGGGUUCGUUUGGCUUCUUAGAGAAACUUCCACCAGCCAUGUGGUAGCCUUUGGAGAAAAAACGAGCG
rnacentral:lncRNA from 1 species